GUUAUUUUUACUUACUUUCAAGCUUCAUUCAUUCAUUCAUUCGAAAUGCCAGGAAUCAAGCCUAGGGCUUUGUCUCUACCAAAGACCAUGUCCUCAGCCUUACCAUGUGACUUUGAGGAAAUUGUUUCACCUUCUCUGGCUCUCACAAUCUCACAGCUGUUUCCAUUGUUUCUAUAUCUGUCGAUGUGAGUCACUCUAUGAGUGAUUAUAAAGGUGUUGUGAACAGAACCACUAUUUUGAGAACCUUCAAAGUGCCAAUACCUGGAGCUGUGAUGAAUCUGAGAAUUUUGGCACCAAGAAAAGCUACCAGGAAACAUUUACUAAAAACCUGUUAAGAGCAAAUAUCAACAAGGGAGGCAGUUCUAAAUGGGCCGUGAGGGUCAGCCACCAAGAGCCAGAAUGAUGCACAAUGCUGCUAGUGCUGCCGGGUCCACAAGGACUUUCUGCUCCCUCUCCUUCUCAGGGUUUAAGACUUCUGCUAUGUCAUGGGGCCAGUCAUUACAGGGCGGGCAUGAGUUGGAAUUUCACCGUGAAACUCUACGCAUCUUCAAAAAGUCAUUAGGCUGUGAAUUCUGUAAUUAUGGAAAUCGUCAGGCCAGUUCUCUGAGAAUGUUUGCUCCCAUCCAUAAGGUAGUGGAAUGUUCAAUCAGUCUCUCUCGUGGGAAAGUUAGGUCAUAACU
rnacentral:lncRNA from 1 species